rnacentral:lncRNA from 1 species
AGCCCGCCGGGGCCGCAGCGGAGCUGAGGGAGAGCAGCGCCUGCGGGGCUGGAGGAGCCCGAGGGGACUGUGGGAACCCAGGCAAUCUGAAGGAGCUGGGGGCUGAGAACUGGAAUUGCCGGGGCUGGAGAAACGGCGUCUGUUACUCACUGCUUUCAACAUUCCAGACUGUGGUGGAUUGAUUCAGUGCCCCAGCAUACAAGUAUUUAUUAUCUUUGGAGAAGCAGGCACUGCAAAGGCCUUUCAGGAGAGAUGUGGGCUGAAAAUGGAUGGUUGGCAUUAGAUUGUUAUGCUGACCCUGUCCAGCAGCCUGGAGAUCACAGAGCUCUAGUCCA